rnacentral:misc_RNA from 1 species
UCCGGUUUGUCACCGGCAGUCUCAUUAGAGUGCCCUUUCGUAGCAACUAAGGGCGAGGGUUGCGCUCGUUGCGGGACUUAACCCAACAUCUCACGACACGAGCUGACGACAGCCAUGCAGCACCUGUGUUACGGCUCUCUUUCGAGCACGCCUCGGUCUCUCGUGGCUUCCGUACAUGUCAAGGGUAGGUAAGGUUUUUCGCGUUGCAUCGAAUUAAUCCACAUCAUCCACCGCUUGUGCGGGUCCCCGUCAAUUCCUUUGAGUUUUAGCCUUGCGGCCGUACUCCCCAGGCGGGGCACUUAAUGCGUUAGCUACGGCACGGAACCCGUUGAUAAGGCCCCACACCUAGUGCCCAACGUUUACGGCGUGGACUAC